AAAGUAAGCUGGGUAAUCGCUGGUGGAUUUCCGCAAGGAGCCACGAGAGGAAAGUCCGAGCUCCAUAGGGCAGGGUGCUGGAUAACGUCCAGUCAGAGUGAUCUGAAGGAUAGUGCCACAGAAAUGGACCGCCUAUGUGUCAUUACUUAAUGAUGCAGGCAAGGGUGCAACCGUGGUGUAAGAGACCACGAAGGGUUAUGGUGACAUAUCCCUUGGUAAACCCCACCUGGAGCAAGACCUUAUAGGAACGCACAUAGAGUUGCCCGCUCUGCGUUCGGGUUGGUCGCUUGAGCUAUCUAGUAAUAGGUAGCCUAGAUAGAUGAUUACCACUUCAAUGGUGGGAGCACUAUGGUGCGUAGUACCACUGGAAGUACAGAACUCGGCUUAUAGGCUUACUUUCCUU
rnacentral:RNase_P_RNA from 1 species